CAGUAGCCACGGGAAUACGAAGGGGGCUAGCGUUGUUCGGAAUUACUGGGCGUAAAGCGCACGUAGGCGGAUAUUUAAGUCAGGGGUGAAAUCCCGCAGCUCAACUGCGGAACUGCCUUUGAUACUGGGUAUCUUGAGUAUGGAAGAGGUUAGUGGAAUUGCGAGUGUAGAGGUGAAAUUCGUAGAUAUUCGCAGGAACACCAGUGGCGAAGGCGGCUAACUGGUCCAUAACUGACGCUAAGGUGCGAAAGCGUGGGGAGCAAACAGGAUUAGAUACCCCGGUAGUCCCUGUCUCUUAUAC
rnacentral:rRNA from 1 species